CCUUUGACGUUAGCGGCGGACGGGUGAGUAACACGUGGGUAACCUACCUAUAAGACUGGGAUAACUUCGGGAAACCGGAGCUAAUACCGGAUAAUAUUUCGAACCGCAUGGUUCGAUAGUGAAAGGUGGUUUUGCUAUCACUUAUAGAUGGGCCCGCGCCGUAUUAGCUAGUUGGUAAGGUAACGGCUUACCAAGGCGACGAUACGUAGCCGACCUGAGAGGGUGAUCGGCCACACUGGAACUGAGACACGGUCCAGACUCCUACGGGAGGCAGCAGGA
rnacentral:rRNA from 1 species